rnacentral:rRNA from 1 species
UAGGGAAUCUUCGGCAAUGGACGAAAGUCUGACCGAGCAACGCCGCGUGAGUGAAGAAGGUUUUCGGAUCGUAAAACUCUGUUGUUAGAGAAGAACAAGGACGUUAGUAACUGAACGUCACCUGACGGUAUCUAACCAGAAAGCCACGGCUAACUACGUGCCAGCAGCCGCGGUAAUACGUAGGUGGCAAGCGUUGUCCGGAUUUAUUGGGCGUAAAGCGAGCGCAGGCGGUUUCUUAAGUCUGAUGUGAAAGCCCCCGGCUCAACCGGGGAGGGUCAUUGGAAACUGGGAGACCUGUGUGCAGAAGAGGAGAGUGGAAUUCCAUGUGUAGCGGUGAAAUGCGUAGAUAUAUGGAGGAACACCAGUGGCGAAGGCGGCUCUCUGGUCUGUAACUGACGCUGAGGCUCGAAAGCGUGGGGAGCAAACAGG